rnacentral:rRNA from 1 species
UACGUAGGCAGCGAGCGUUGUUCGGAAUUACUGGGCGUAAAGGGCUCGUAGGCGGCCUGUCGCGUCGGGAGUGAAAGCCCACUGCUUAACGGUGGGUCUGCUUCCGGUACGGGCGGGCUGGAGUAUGGCAGGGGAGACUGGAAUUCCUGGUGUAGCGGUGGAAUGCGCAGAUAUCAGGAGGAACACCGGUGGCGAAGGCGGGUCUCUGGGCCAUUACUGACGCUGAGGAGCGAAAGCGUGGGGAGCGAACAGG